rnacentral:lncRNA from 1 species
AUAGUUACAAUGUUCUAAGGUAUGUUAUUUUCUAAAUUGGUUUGGCAAAAUCUGUAUAAAUAAUCUGUUUCUCUUCUUUGUCAGAGUUGUGUUCAUUUUUAAAUUUGCAGUCUUACUAAAUGUGUGUGUUUGUAUUUUGGCAAUAUUUGAUACCACUUUUCAGUAGUCGUUAAAGUUCUGUUAUGGCCUUAAACACUUCUGUAAAGCUGAAAGGAAAUGUCAGUUACAAUUUAUUAAUAGGAAACAAGUUGUAAAUUUUGAGUUACUCAAGA